UGACGUGUUAGCUUAAGUCCCGCAACAACCGCAACCCUUGUCCUCUGUUACCAGCGGGUCAUGCCGGGCACUCUAAGAAAACUCCCGUGGUCAACACGGAGGAAGGUGGGGACAACGUCAAGUCAGCAUGGCGGUUACGUCCAGGCCGUCACACAUGCUACAAUGGGUGGUACAAAGGGCAGCCAACGCGCGAGCGGGAGCGAAUCCCAAAAAACCACCCUCAGUUGGGAUCGCAGUCUGCAACUCGACUGCGUGAACGCGGAAUCGCUAGUAACGGCGGGUCAGCCAUACCGCCGUGAAUACGUUCCCGGGCCUUGUACACACCGCCCGUCAAGUCACCCGAGUCGGCUGCACCCGAAGUCGGUCGCCUAACCCGCAAGGGAGGGAGCCGCCGAAGGUGUGGCUGGUAAGGGGGACUAAGUCGUAACAAGGUAA
rnacentral:rRNA from 1 species